AGUGAACGCUGGCGGUAGGCCUAACACAUGCAAGUCGAACGGCAGCACAGUAAGAGCUUGCUCUUACGGGUGGCGAGUGGCGGACGGGUGAGGAAUACAUCGGAAUCUACUUUUUCGUGGGGGCAAACGUAGGGAAACUUACGCUAAUACUGCAUACGACCUACGGGCGAAAGCAGGGGAUCUUCGGAACUUGCGCGAUUGAAUGAGCCGAUGUCUGAUUAGCUAGUUGGCGGGGUAAAGGCCCACCAAGGCGACGAUCCGUAGCUGGUCUGAGAGGAUGAUCAGCCACACUGGAACUGAGACACGGUCCAGACUCCUACGGGAGGCAGCAGUGGGGAAUAUUGGACGAUGGGCGCAAGCCUGAUCCAGCCAUACCGCGUGGGUGAAGAAGGCCGUCGGGUUGUAAAGCCCUUUUGUUGGGAAAGAAAAGCAGCAGGUUAAUACCCCGCUGUUCUGACGGUACCCAAAGAAUAAGCACCGGCUAACUUCGUG
rnacentral:rRNA from 1 species